rnacentral:rRNA from 1 species
UACGUAGGGGGCUAGCGUUGUCCGGAAUCAUUGGGCGUAAAGAGCGUGUAGGCGGCCCGGUAAGUCCGCUGUGAAAGUCGGGGGCUCAACCCUCGAAAGCCGGUGGAUACUGUCGGGCUAGAGUGCGGAAGAGGCGAGUGGAAUUCAUGGUGUAGCGGUGAAAUGCGCAGAUAUCAGGAGGAACACCGAUUGCGAAGGCAGCUCGCUGGGACGUAACUGACGCUGAGACGCGAAAGCGUGGGGAGCAAACAGG